CCCGCUUUUCACCUGCCAUGACGUCACUAGCACAGAUCAAGCGCAUCGCUACUACCACCUCAUAUUCUGACCUGACUCCAUACUGUACAUAUCGUACUUAAAGUACCUGUCUAUCAUAAUUUCACCCGUUCUCUACGAUUACAAUAAACUCUACAGAAUAUUAAUAUAUUAACAAAUAUACAACGUUUCUAAACUUUUGUGACCUGGUUUAACUGUUAUAACCAUAACCAGAAAAACCGCCAUUAACUAAAAGGAAACAUUAUACCGGAAACGGAAGUUAUCUACCAGAGGAACUCUGUAACAGAUAUUCUUUCUGCGGCCUGGCUCAGCGUACGUAAAUAUUUUACGGACCUAUACAUACAGCAAAACAACAGCAGCGUAGUCACAUCAAAGUAUAGUGACCCCAGCGAAAGCGAAAGUAAAGCAUAAUUUGCGAGCGCGCAUGCUCCACUGACAGCGCGCCAAUCAUAGCCUCCCGCUUCCUCUGUAUCCACCUAUACCCACUAUAAGUGAAAGUAUCCACCCAAUCCUUUACGUCCCGACUCGAACUUUGAUAAAUCGAUACUAUAGCUAUAUAUACUACUCUAUACGCUAUAGCAUAUCUAACGUACGAUUACCGGCAUACAACCACGCUAUCAGUUGCAUUUAUUGAUUGCAAUGAAUAAUUGAAGAUAAAAAGUUAACACGCAUAAUAACAUUAAUAAAAUAAACGUAAUAAUUAUUACAAAAAUAAUUGAAUUUUAAAAUCCUUCCGAUUAUAAUUGAUAUCAUCAGAUCGAAUAACCUGGCCUCCUUUUUCUCUACCUGAAUAUUAUUUGAACAUAUAAAAUUUAUUAUUUGGAAAAAAUAUAUAUCUGAAAAUAUAAAAAUAUAAAAUAACCUAUCCGAC